CCUACGGGUGGCAGCAGUGAGGAAUAUUGGGCAAUGGGCGCAAGCCUGACCCAGCAACGCCGCGUGAAGGAAGAAGGCUUUCGGGUUGUAAACUUCUUUUAAGAGGGAAGAGCAGAAGACGGUACCUCUUGAAUAAGCCACGGCUAACUACGUUCCAGCAGCCGCGGUAAUACGUAGGUGGCAAGGGUUGACCGGUUUUACUGGGGGUAAAGGGCGUGCAGGCGGGAAGACAAGUCAGAUGUGAAAUCACGCGGCUCAACCGCGGAACUGCAGUUGAAACUGGUUUUCUUGAGUAACGGAGAGGUAUGCGGAAUUCCUGGUGUAGCGGUGAAAUGCGUAGAUAUAACGAAGAACACCAAUUGCGAAGGCGGAUGACUGGACGGCAACUGACGGUGAGGCGCGAAAGCGUGGGGAGCAAACAGGAUUAGAUACCCCAGUAGUC
rnacentral:rRNA from 1 species